rnacentral:rRNA from 1 species
ACGUAGGGUGCGAGCGUUAAUCGGAAUUACUGGGCGUAAAGGGUGCGCAGGCGGCCAUGCAAGUCAGAUGUGAAAGCCCCGGGCUUAACCUGGGAAUUGCGUUUGAAACUGCAAGGCUAGAGUGCAACAGAGGGGAGUGGAAUUCCAUGUGUAGCAGUGAAAUGCGUAGAGAUGUGGAAGAACACCGAUGGCGAAGGCAGCUCCCUGGGUUGACACUGACGCUCAUGCACGAAAGCGUGGGGAGCAAACAG